GAAAAUUUUUCUUCUUUCUUUUUUGCGCACGAGUAUUAAUAAUUAUUAAGGACAGUAAGGUCACUAAUUUUCUAGCACCGCAUUUCAUGCUUGUUGUAAUGCAACAUACUCGACCAUAAUCAGGACCCACUGAACUGAAAGCAUCAGUCAACUCCUCCCUCUUUGUGUCCUUAACAAGCUCUAGAAUUGUCAUCAUUUAGAAGAGCUAGGAUUUGAGGUGAUAACUCAAUGUAAUCAAAUUUAUUGGGUAAUUUUUUUCAAUAUGGCAGGUACAAUUUCCCAAGCUUGAGAUGAUGGUUCUCUCCCACUUGGACGACAUAAGCAAAAUAUGGACUGACAGUCCUCAAGAAACUCUUACUUUUGAUUGUUUACAGAAAAUAGAGGCUAAGAACUGUAAGAGCCUUGAAAAUCUAUUUCCGCAUUGGGUGGCUAGAAGUCUAAACCAAAUUGAGGAACUUCGCAUAGAGUCUUGUGAGCUCAAGGAAAUAGUUGCGAGAGCAGAUCCACCCUCUAAUACUGCUGAAGUCCUUUUCCCAAAACUAACAUCUCUGGUGUUACAUGAUAUGCCACGACUCAAGAGCUUUUGCUCUAACUUGUCCACUUUGAACUGGCCAUUCUUGAAUGAAUUGCGAGUGACUCACUGUGACAAACUGAAUAUAUUCUCCGUUACCACAUCCAUGAACAAAUGGGCUCAGAGAGACGAUCAACACAACCUUUUGGACCAUGAAGCACACUUGCCACUUGAGAGGGACAUUCCCAUCUUAGAAAGACUUUUAUUGGUUGAUAAGGAUAUUGAGAUGAUAUUGGAUGGAAAAUUUCCUGAUGACAUCUUUGGCAAGCCAAAAGUACUAAUAUUGGCAUGCUUUCAUGAUGAAAAGGCCGUCUUUCCUCCUAGAUUCCUUCUAGAGAGAUUUCGGAAUCUAGAAAGCCUGGAGAUUUUCUGUAGUUCCUUUGAAGAUAUAUUCCCUAAUGAAGGGCUUGUGGAUGAGGGCUUACAUGCAGUGCUUGAAAAUUUAAGGAACUUAAGUUAAGCAAGCUACACAACAUAAAGUGCAUUUGGAGAGAAGACUAUUUGGUGGCAAAAAUUCUUCAAAGUAUCAAAACAUUUGAGGUUUGGGAUUGCCCUAGUUUGACGACAAUAUUUCCAGCCAUGGCAUCCUUUCGGAAUUUGACAAAGUUAGUGGUGAAGAAUUCAUCUGGGUUGGUACAUCUAGUAACUUUUCCAAUGGUCACAAAUUUGGUGCAUCUCACUGAGAUGACGAUAAUAGGAUGUGAAAGAAUGAAAGAAAUAGUAGCAAACGAUGGAAAAGGAGAAGGAGAAGUGAUUUCUCUUGAGAAGCUAGAAACACUGAGACUACAAUAUCUGCCAAGUCUAUUAUGCUUCUCCUCCAUCAAAAGUUGCAUCUUUAGGUUUCCAUUAUUGGAUGACAUUGAAGUGGAGGAGUGCCCGAGCAUGAAGAUAUUUUCUAAGGGUACAGUAAGCACACCAAUACUUCAUUAUCCAAGACUGUUUCGACAUGCAUGGGAUGUGCGCUUGGAGGGUGAUUUGAAUGCAGCCAUACAAAAGUUAUCAGCAUAAAUAAACGCACAUAAAACUAUCACUGAUAAAGGGGAGGGCAGGUGAUGUAAUUGGUACAGAGAUUUGGAAGUUAUUGAGGCACAGUCAAAGGUUAAAAUGAAGAAAACUUUAAUUGAGAGGGCUAAUUGAAAUGUUCCGGCAGGUGAAGAUAGAGCACGUGUUCACGGGGGUAAAGACUUGCUUGUUGGACUCGCACGAGUGGUGUUGACCGAACAAAGCAGGUGGAGCUUUUCGCACGUGUGAAAAUGGUGGCCACCCUAGCAAACGGUCUAGCAGUAAUUUUUCUAGGUUCUUUCCUAAUUUACUAGCAAGCAUGGGAAGGCGGGUCGCACCUAUAGCUAGAAAUUUAACUUUGUAAGUCGUGCUUCAAAUUAGCAAUUUAUAACAUGCUAAAUAGUUUGGAGGAAAUUGUGUAAUUAGUCCUAAACUAUUUUCGCACAAAGAUUUAGGACUAAAUUAUUAAAAGUUGAAAAGUUUAAAGCUGAAUUGAUAUCGCACAAUAAAUUUAGUGCCUAAUUAAGUAA